ACCCCAAACUGUAACACCUGGACUGCAACACCUGAGCUCCAGGUGUGGACCCCAAACUGUAACACCUGGACUGCAACACCUGAACUCCAGGUGUGGACCCCAAACUGCAACACCUGAACUCCAGGUGUGA